CAGGUUCUCUCUGUUGCUACUCCAGCUGCUAAGUCUGGAAUGCAGAACCAUCAGCCUUUACAGCCUGGCUUCAGACAGAAGUAGCUGAGGAAGCACCAGAUGAGACAACGCCGAGGGCAAAGAAUGAUGGAUUAUAAGGGUAAGAGCAUUUCUCCCACCAAAAAAACCCACCAGAAAUAGAAAGAGCUCGAGCUCCUGUGAGCAGGAGAAUUUAGGGAAAGAGGGAAGUUCAGAAGGAAAAAGAGACUACCAUAUAAGUUAGGGCAUUUCUGGGUAUCCAAGAGUC